UUACGGCCAUAUUAUGUUGGAACAUGUGUCCCCAUACGAUCACUGAAGUUAAGCAACAUCGAGCCUGGUCAGUAUGUAGAUUGGUGACCACUUGUGAAUACUAGGUGCUGUG